CAUAUCUAUCCUUCCUAAUACACGAGUAUGUCCCAGCGAGCCCACUGCGUUCUGCUGAAGAGCUACGUAUAUCCUCUGACUUCUGGCUGCACCUUUUCUGUGGAACUCCCUUCCCUUCUCCGUUAGACUUUCACCCAGUCCCCACUCCUUCAAAUAAUCUUUGAAAACUCACUUCAGGAAAGCAUAUAAUUUUUAGCGGGUUUUCAUUCCUGCC